AUUGAACACUGGCGGCAGGCCUAACACAUGCAAGUCGAACGCAUGGCGGACGGGUGAGUAAUGUCUGGGAAACUGCCUGGUGGAGGGGGAUAACUACUGGAAACGGUAGCUAAUACCGCAUACCAUCAGAUGUGCCCAGAUUGGCUUAGCUUGGUGGUGGGGUAACGGCUCACCAAGGCGACGAUACCUAGCUGGUCUGAGAGGAUGACCAGCCACAUUGGAACUGAGACACGGUCCAGACUCCUACGGGAGGCAGCAGUGGGGAAUCUUGCACAAUGGGCGAAAGUCUGAUGCAGCCAUGCCGCGUGUAUGAAGAAGGCUUUCGGGUUGUAAAGUACGGUUAGCGGGGAGGCGGUACCCGCAGAAGAAGCAACGGCUAACUACGUUCCAGCAGCCGCGGUAAUAC
rnacentral:rRNA from 1 species